GUUUGAAUGGUGAGUAGGAGAGAGUAGUAUUGAUUGAAGAGGAAGAAAAGAGGCUCGAAUCAGGGACUCUCGCAAGGCGAGCCCCUGCUAGAGCGCUUCCCGCCUGCAGCUUGAAUCCCGGGUUCCACACAGGAAGAGGAGGGACCAGGCUCCUCCCUGCUCCAAAGGGCACGAACUUCUGUGUCUCCACCCCAGUGCGCAUUUCUCCUAGUGCGCAGGCUCGUUGGAGGUUUUCCGGGGACCCUUUCCAACCUGGCUGUCUCAAAGGGAACCAGAUUAUGCAAGGCUUUGUGUUCCAGCUUAGGCUAAACCAAGAACAACUUUAUCCUAAGGUCAAGAGGAAAUAUUUGAUAGGUUCUAAAGAAGGGAGGAGGAAACUGAGACCCAGGCAGAAGAAUUUGUUCUUCAAACUGCGAAAGCAGAGCUACCCCAAUUCAUCCACACACAUAGUAUUUCAGAGAAAAAAAGAAAACCCUAUGAUGGCAAGCAGUCAUAAGGAUGAAUGGUUUUCUACCAGGUGAACUACGUGGUCAUGGAAGCACUGUUGAUGGUGUGGCACUACUGCCUGUUCUUCAAAGAAAAAUUCAAACCCCUAUUGCCGGCUUUGAAAAUGGAAGAAGAAUGCCCUGAUUCAAGGAAUGUAGUGGCCUCUAGCAUUUGGCAAGGAAGAAGGGAAGGAACACACCCUCACAGGCUCUUCCCUGGCUGCAUUCAUGCACUGUGUCCCGCUUCUCAGUGGAACCAGCUAUCAGCACCAUGGACAGAACCCGGGAGAUUGGGUCCUCAGAGCAAGUAAAAUGAUUCAGGAGUGUCUGGCCAAGGCACUAACUACAGAGAUUUUUAUUUCAUGUGAAUAAACAGUUUUCUGUUUGACUUCAAGGCCAGGAUCCCGUUUUCCUUUUGCAGUUCUUCUGAGGAAGUUAAUGUUAAUGAGCACAAGAUGAAACUUAGCUUCAACAUGAUCUGUACUUUACACAUCAAAAUAAAGAAGAUUACCAACACAGUCACAGACACAGAAUGGAAGAUGCAUGGAUUCUCAGAUUGACGAAGCCCACCAAACUCUGAGCUCCUAGACAAAAAUGCUGUAGAACAACAAAGAAAAAGACAAAGUCAUACAAGCAGCCAUAAGGGAAGGACUGAUUAUCACAAAAUAAACACAAAUUAGACUGUAAGAAGACCUCUCUGCAGCACAGUAGAGAGGAGAAG
rnacentral:lncRNA from 1 species